UAGGUUCAUGAAAGCUGCUAUAUUUUUUUCUUGCUGAUAUUUUCCUUUCUGGCUGAAAACUCUGGUAGUUUAUUCUCUCCUUUCUCUCUCCUUGUCAAGCUUUCCUUUUACUAAACUGCAUCUCUGAUCCUUUCUGUAUUUCCUUUCUAGACUACUCUGGCUAUCUUCUUUCUUAAUUAUGGAUGUGAUACUCAGAGAAAUGUUAGCAACUGUUCAGUAGGAUAGAAAUAUUAAUCAAGUAUGCAUUCCAUUUCUGAUAGAAAUGGCUAGUGAAAAGGUAUGGUAUUUUCUUUUGUUGUACCAUCAUGGCAUUUUGAAUUUCUGUAAAAUCAGUGGCCUAGUAUAAUACUCUCAGGCAAAAGUGAAAUCUGUAUUUUUCAUUCAUAUUGUGGUUUAACCCCAGCCACUAAGUCUAAGUCCCGCACAUCCACUUGGUCGCUUCCAUCAUGAUGGGAUAGGGGAGAGAAUUGGAAGAGUGAAAAUGUGAAAAGUCAUAGGUUGAGAUUAGAAGUUUUUAGAGAAAAGCCACUCACAAAAUCAAAGCAAAACAAGGAAUUCAUUCACCAUUUCCUAUGAGUAGGCAUAUGUUCAGCAAUCCCCAUGAAAGGAGGGCUCCAUCAUGCUGAAUAGUGACUUGGAAGAAAAAUGCUACCAUUCUAAAUAUCCUGAUUCUUUCUUCUUCCCCCAGCUUUACACAGUGACCACAAGACUGUAGGGUCCAGAAUAACCCUUUGGUCAGUUGAGGUCAGCUGUCCUGGUUGUUUCCUAUCCCCUCUCUUUGUGCAGCCCCAGCCUCCUACCUGGAGGAGAAGUAUCAGAAGCAGGAAAGUCCUUGAUGCUGUGAAAGUGCUGCUCAGCAAUAAGAAAAGCAUCUCUAUAUUACCAACACUAUUUUCUGCAUAAAUCCAAAACAUAGCCCCAUACUAGUUACUGUGAAUAAAAUUGCUAAAACCAGAACCACUUAGAGCUGCAUGAUAAUUUUGUGGCAAAAAAUCAGAUUGAUUUCUAGACUUGUCCUCUAAUGUGUCAACCUUUUGAAUACAAUGUAGUCUCAUUGCUGUUAAAAAAAGAAAAUCAAGGAAAUACUUCUAUUUAUACAAAGUAAAACUUUCUGGAUCUUCAAAAUUACCCCCAUAAAAGAAAAAAUGUUCAUUAUGUUCAUUCAUAUGUCCUGUUCCAUUCUGAAUGGUUAACUGUUCUCAAGUAAUUGGACUUUUCAGAGACUUUACUUGAGUGGCUCAUGGCUCUUUAUUGAUUUUGCUUAAAUUGUGUUUAUUCAAGAAGAAAAUUUGAGAGCUUUUUUUUUUUUUCUUUCUCAUCAUAUCUGUAAGAGGAACUGUUUAACCAUCAAUCUCCUGAAAAUUGUAGAAAUAGAACAUAACAUUGUUACCUGCAACUGCUACUGAUAUUUGAGACAACCUAAACUGUUAAUUAUCUGCCAUGAUACAAAAUUGCUUUUUCAAAUGUAUUAUUGUGAAGCCUACCAAACUCUUCACCAAGAAAAUUUCAUCCCAUACAGCCUUGCAAAUUUUUUUAGAAUGUCAGGCCACAAAGAAUGACAGUGGUUUCAAAUGCAGGCUUAGAUUUUUAAACUGGCUGUUUUUAAUGCUGAUGUUUUGUACAGUCUAGUAAAAAAUAAAAUAAGGGCCUGGAAUAUUCAGCAUCACAGUGAAUAUAUUACAGCUGGUCAAUGUGUUCAGUAGUGUUUUUGGUAAGGUGAUAAGAACUGAAAAACCAUAUUGGGAGAAGAUGCUAUUUGAAAUUACCUGCAUGGUCCAGGAUAUUAAUGAAUCUACUAGAAAGAAGUGAAAUAGCAGAUAUUUUAGUGUCUUCUGGUAUUCUGUUGUUUAAAUGAAGAGAAAUGGAUUGUGUCCUUUUUAAAAGCCUCAGACACAAUUAACUAGAUCUCAGUCUUCGACUUCUAAUAUAUCUUAUUUUCAAGAACAUCUUGCAGAGGAACAAACAUCCAAUAUUAAAUCCUUACUAUGGUAAUCACCUAAAAUUAUUUCAGAGUAAUAGAAUUUAUAUAUCCUAGAUCCAAAAAUCACAGAAUCAUAGAACCACUGAGUGAUUGAGGUUAGAAGGGAUCUCUGCAUGUCAUCUAGUCAAAUAACUCCAGUCAAGCAGGAUUACAGGGAUUCAGUGUCUCAGACAGCCUUUGAAGUUCUCCAAAGAGGGACACUGCACAGUCUCCCUGGGCAGCCUGUGGCAGUACUCAGUCACACUCACGGACAAGAAGUGUUUCCUGAUGUUCACAGGGAACCUCCUGUGUUUCCAGUUAUGCUCAUUGUCUCUAGCCUUGUCACCACUGGAAAGAAGAAAGAUUCUUUACAUUUUUUCCUCAGGUGUUUAGCAAAAUUAGUAACCUUACAGAUGGGCCUUGUUUUCCACAGGCUGAAGGGUCCCAGAUGUUUCAGCUUUUCCUCACCAGUGAGAUACUCCAUUCUCCUGAACAUUUUAGUUUCUGUUUUCUGGAAUUUAUCUAAUACAUCCAUGUCUCUCUUGCACUGCAAAGCCCAGAACUAAGCACAGUACUCCAGAUGUUGUCUCAGCAGCACUAAACAGAGGGACUGGAUCAUGUCUGUUGAUCUGCUGGCUGUAUUUUCUCUAAUGCAGACCAGAAUGCCAGUAACAUUUGCUGCAAGUAACAUCACUGACUCAUAUUCAGCUGGGAACCCCACUGUAUUUUCUGCCCAGUUGCUUUCCAGAAAAAUGCCAGUUAAAAACCCUGUUCUGCAUUCUUGUUGAAACACAGACAUUGUUUGAUCAAAACUAAACUUCCAGUUUCUGCUGAAAAGGCUUAUACCCCAUCUCCUAGACAGUGGAAACCCACAAACAAAAAUUCUCAAUGUCAAAAAUGUCUAGGGAAAUGGAAAAAGAAAACUACUAGGGAGAAAACAUCAGACAUCCCUUAUCAGGACCUGUGGAUACUGGCUUUAGGAGCUACAUUAGGAAAAUGAUGACACAUGCUAUAGCACUGCUCUUGCCACUUCUCCUGGGGCUGGAAUGGUGGAGCUACCUGACAAAGGAGAAAAAAGUUGUUGUGAGAAACUGCCAGUGAAAGUUUCUGUGGCAAGUUUGACUGAUUGUUUCGUUAUAUUUACUUGAAUUUGGACUCUGAGGUAUAAACAAAGACUUGAAAAGUAAAAGGAUGUUCUACACUGAAGUUGAUAGCUUAUGUUUUGCCAAAACAACAUCACUUCACCAAACCACUUCCUGAUGAUUAUUAAUCUGUUAGAGAAGUUCUGAUUCCUAUUCCUUCUUCUGUAAACACUGCUGCUUCUCAAAUUACAUGAGUGUGUUUUUCUGGAGAAUGAAUGUAUAAAUUAAUAUUUCAUAUUUGCAUUUAGUUACUGAAAACUAAGAUUUGUGAAAACUCACCCCUUUGGAAUUAUUGUGGUGUUACUUGUGGCAUUUUGGUUCUGUUUUUCUCAGCACACUUCUAUGUUAAUGAUGCAGCACUGCCAUGUGGGAGAGAGCCACCAUGGUAUCAGUCAUGAUAAGUAAAGAGUACAGGUGGUUUAGCCUCCUAGCCUCCCAGUUCCUGCGUGUUGUAUUUUUUCACAGAAGGAGGUAAAGGAUGGGUAACCUUUCUAAAAGCUAACAGUGGCUCUUUCAACUGCCAGUUUUUAUUCCUAACUGACAGGCCUUGAAUGCAACUCAAAUACAGCAGGAUUCCAAAAAAGCACUUUGAAUAAUAAAUAACACUUUAAAAAUAACAAAGAUAAUAAUUAAAAAUAUGGUCUGCAAAAGACUAUUUUCUUUUCCCUCAUGGCAACGGAGACAAGAUCCCAAAGAAACUGCAAUGUCAGCCCAAACCCUGAAAAAACUUUCACCAGAAGCUUUACAAAAGAAAUUUGAUCUGAGAUUGGCUGCAUGGACUGCUGAAGAGGAGGAGCAAAACCUAAUCAAAAACCAACCAAGAAAAAAAAUCCAGAAAGUUAAAAUAUAUUUAUCUAUAUUUAUCUAUAUAUUUAUCUUUUUAAAGGGAUAUCUAGCCUCUGACUGAAAAGACUGCUCAGGAUCUUGAAAUUCUUUAUUUGUUUGCCUCUUUUUUCCCCCGAUCUGAUUUGUUCAUUGAUGGAUUUUUAUUAUAUAUUCUCCUCAGGAGAGAAAUUGGCACAUUUAUGAAAUAUUUGAAUAGAUAUUGCCAUAGAAAUGUCAAAUAAUAGCAUAUCAAAGGGAUUCCUUUUCACACAAGAAACAUGGCAUUGGGUUUGUAUUUCUCUAUAAAGAUGAGGCUUCUUGUGCAAGUACUUGGCAAACUGCUUUAUUCUUUGCCUGUGACUGUUAGUUGUGGUCAUUUGGGGACUACAGUACAGCUCUUGUGUCUCCAGCAUCUCUAAUAUUUGCCAUUCAAACUAAUUUUUAAAUGCUUGAUUCCACUCUGGAGCUGUCACUGCUGAGGUGGUUGCCUUAAGCUAUUUUCACAGGGUCUUGAGAAAGUCUGGUGGUAUAAAAUAGAGUUCACCUACUGGCAGCAUAUGUGUAAACAUAUGAAUAACUUAACAGAAAAAAAAAUCUGGUUUUGUAAAACUCCUGUUUGCAAUUGCUGAACUUAAAAAUUCCAGCUUUGUAGUAGAAAGUGAUUUUUUUUAAAGUCUCAUUCUUAAGGUAGCUAAAAUGCAAAACAAUUCUCAUUGAAGUAGAAUGUUAUGGUUGUCUGGGAAUAAAAAAAAUGCUUUGGAUAUUUAAGAAAGGAUUUCUACAUCAUGAACAUUUUGUAUAUUCUGACUUUAUUUUUUCCCUGGUUUGUGAAAAAGGUCUUUUUGAAAAUGUUUAAAUUUUCUGUAGGUUAUGGGAACUAUUUUAUUCCUUAAUCUAAUAUCAUCAUAGAAGAA